AGUGGAGUGAAAGGCAAGAGCAGUCAUGGAGAGGAGAAAUAUCCAACGUGAGUUAGCAGGUGUCAUCAUCCUCCAUUUUAGAGGAGGGGGCUGUCUGCAUACCCAGAGAGCCACGACCUGCCUGGUUUAUGGAAGACCCCCAUUACCGUUCCUUACCCCUGCAGGUCUCUGCCGGUGGCAUUGCACCUGGGAGCUCCCCUAGCCCAGUAUGUUGGCUGACAUAAGGCAUCUUUGCAGUCGGUAGAGUUAUACCUUGAAGUGAUGUUCCCUGGCUGUUAACGAGUGAAAAAGCAAGUGCUUUGCUGAAGAGGCUCUCUGAAGAGAGAACACAGAGGAUGGAGUUGUCCCUGUGGUGGUGAUGUUAUAGUCCCAGCCAUAUCCCUCUUCUGAGCUGAACGCAGACACUGUUUCACUGGGACAACCAUUGCCUAAAGCUGCCCUGAGCACGUGGACAUGAGAAGUGGCUGGAAACCAUGCUCCCAAGGCAGAUGGAAGGAAAGUGUCAGCAGUGAUUUCACUGGGAGAAGCAGCUCAUUAGGCACAGACAUCAGCUGUAAGUGGAAAUUUCAGGAGAGACCUUUUGUGCUAUAAAUGAUUCUAAAGUCCAUUGGUUAAGUAAUGUUUAUGUACUACAGCGAAUGACAUUGCCAUCCGCCUCCUCUGGUUUUAAGGAGAGUUGAGGGAAGAAUUUCAAGAAAAAGGAGUUUUUUGCGGACCUUGUCAACAGUGCUUUGAAUUUGCUUUGUGCUGGCUGAUGUGGAGCUGCAGCGUGUCUCAGCUGCAGGGGAUGUGCUCACCCUUAAUGCCUGUUUUCAGCCCUCAUUACCUCCUGAGAGGAUGGCUCCAUCCAUGCCCUGGGUUAUGCCCUGGCUGGUACCCUGUAGGUGACGCCUGUUCUUACAGCACAUGAACCAGCUCAAGGAAGCUCCAAGUUCAACUGCUGCCAUUUCAGUCCAGAAGAUCCCAGCCUUCGUGUUUUUAAUACAAGAAAAGAUUUCCUCUGCCCAGUCUAACAGAAAUUCACUUCAGUACAUCAGUACAGCCAUCAGCUGGAUGCGGCCUUGGCUACUGGAAAACCUGGGAUUGUAUUGACACGGUGGCACUGACUGUGACGUGAAAGAAGCAGGAACUUCUGAGGAUAGAAGUACAGGUCAGUAACCAGAAAAUCCUACUUGGUGGGAAUAUCUUCACUGCUUGGUUUGCAUGG